GCCCAGAGACAGGGAGACAUCACUUUUGCAUCGAUACUCUUUGUAAGGUGCACAUCACUUCGCUGGUCUUUGUUUUCCCACAUUUCACUUCUCGGAGAGAAACGCUCCAGAGCAGAGAACUUCUCUUGGCACUCUGGCCGAGUCUUGUGGCUUUUGCUGACUGCUUCGGAUUCAGUGGGGUCUAGCUGUUUCUGCUGACUCGUGUUGCUGUUUGGCGUUUGCUGUUUGGCUGGGUUGCCGGUAUCUGGACAACAAAGAGUGGACUCACCCCGAGGAACUACAUCUAAAAAGGGAGAGGAAAGCUGGAGGCUGAAAGAUGGAGGCUGCAAAAUCAAGACCUGUCCAAGGCUCACGCCACCUUCAAGCUGCCUCCACCUGGGAGGGUGUGACACGCAGAGACUUCCUCUCAGCGGUAGGUUCGGUCUGGGAAGGGUGCCCACAGAGUUUCCCAGAGCCACUGUGGCACACAGGACUGGCUUUCCCUCCUGACCCAGGGACGCCUCCGUCACUACCUCUUCAGCUUCUGAAAUUUAUAUGAAGCUAAAGAGGAGCAGAAUAGACAAGACACCUUGAGUAAGAUCAGUCCUGGGGGCGUCGUGCUGCCUGAUGCCGCCCGAUGCCGCCCGAUGCCGCCCGAUGCCGCCCGAUGCCGCCCGAUGCUGCCCGACGCCGCCUGAUUUUAAAGCACAACAGACACAGUGAUCAGAACAGCAAGUUAAAGGCAGAACAACAAUAACAACAACAAAAAACUGGAUUAGAGAACUCAGGAAUACAUCUAUAUACUGUAGUCAGUUUCUCUUCAAUAAAAGUGUCGGAAAGCACACAAUGGAGGAAGGGUAGCAUCUUCAAUCAAUGGUGCUGAGAAAAAUGGAUAUUCCUACGCAGGAGAAUGAAUCUGGACCCUAUCUCACACCUGUAGAAAAUCAACCGCAAGUGUACUGUAGCAAAGAUGUAAACAUAUUAUUUCAAAGUGUAAACACACUAGAAAAAAACAAAAUUGAGGCAUUGCUUGA